rnacentral:rRNA from 1 species
UACGUAGGGUGCGAGCGUUAAUCGGAAUUACUGGGCGUAAAGCGUGCGCAGGCGGUUUUGUAAGACCGAUGUGAAAUCCCCGGGCUCAACCUGGGAACUGCAUUGGUGACUGCAAGGCUAGAGUGUGUCAGAGGGAGGUGGAAUUCCACGUGUAGCAGUGAAAUGCGUAGAGAUGUGGAGGAACACCGAUGGCGAAGGCAGCCUCCUGGGAUAACACUGACGCUCAUGCACGAAAGCGUGGGGAGCAAACAGG